GCGGAUGAGAACUGGUUCUGCUUCUUGCAACUGUUCUUCUCCCGACUUUCCAGCUCACUCCUCCCUCGUACCUUUCCCUCCGACCAGUGGGAUUUGGAUUGAAAUCUUCCCCACUCUGCCGGCUACCACGGGGCAGUGAGACGAUGCUGUUCACUGGAGGAGGAGCGGGUCCUAGUGAGGUGAAACUUACCACCAAGUGGGACGGGAAAACGUUCGAAAAAACAACAGAGGGCAACGACAACAGCCACAAGGAAGGAAAAGUUGAAGUAUGAAGUGUUCCUUGUAAAUGUGCCCAUUCCUGGGAAUGCCUGUGAUGGACUGGACUGUAUCCACCACUUUCUUCAGCAUUUUCCGUCCUUGGGCAUUGGAGUUUCCACACCAGGCUGCGAUGCAACCAGCUGGAAUGUUCUCCACUCCACGUCAUUAGAACUUUGUCAGUUUUUGUUGACAUGUGAAUCUACACAAGUAAGAAAGUAGAGGUGCGGUUGAGCCUUUGUGAUGACGCUUACGUGCCGGUCCCAGAAUAGAUCCCCUGAUGUGAUGAUGCCAAGGAAUUUUUACCGUACUGACUCCCUCUGCCCAAGUGAGGACUGGCUCAUGUACCUCCGGUUUCCUCCUAUAGUCUGUAAUCAGCUCUUGGCUUUGCUGACAUAGACCAUGAAAUAUAAGAACAGAAUUAGGACAUUUGGCCCAUCAAGUCUACUCUAGCAUUCCAACAUAGCUGAACCAUUUUUCCCUCUCCGCCCCAAACUCCUGCCUUCUCCCAUAUCCCUUCAUCCCUGACCAAUCCAUCAAUCUCUGCCUUAAAUAUACCCAGUGACUUGACCAACACAGCCAUCUGUGGCAACAAGUUAUGGGUUGUGUGUGAGGGUGUGUUUUGGUUGUGUGUUUGUGUGAGGGUGACUGCAGGUUGAAGAAGGGAGAUCGGGGCACUCAAUGGAUUUCU